ensembl:lncRNA
GUUAAAUUCACCUUGUGUUCCUUGUAUGUUGUUAUCUGUGUGUCUUCCUCUUUUUUGUGUGCUUCUUAAGUCAGAAAAUAAUUUCCUCUGAAGAAGUGCUGCUUCAGUUCUUUCUUUGACCUUGUGAUUUCCAUUGAAAGUGAAGGAAGGGUGAUUAGAAAGCAAGGUAGGAAAUUUUUUGUGUUAGCCUGGUGAAGGCAUGGCAAACUGUCCACGGUGUUCCUCGCCUUUUGCCCUAUGUCAGCUUGGCUUGGCUAUAGCUCUGCACAACCCUAAACUGAAUAAGCUGUUAAAAAAAUGGAUUGAUGGAUUGAGAUUAUCUGUCCCACUUUUGCUUGUUUCACCUUUCUCUCAUUAGUUUAUUGCAUUUAUAACCCAACAUUCCUUUUUUCACUCUGUCUGUUCACCCACCUGUUUGCUGGCCUGUGUUCUUUUCUAGUGUUCUUUCUAAUGCCUGUUUAAGGAUAUCUUCUCAUUUCUUCUGUGCAGAAAUGUGUGUUUUGGGGGACUUCAAGGUUUUACUAGCUUCCGAUUACAGCUUCUAUUUUUUUUCUUUUUUACCCAACUAUUACAUCUUGGAUUUGAAUCCUUUUUUUUUUAUAAACCACAUCAGUAAGAGCUCUGUUUUUCUGUUUGCCUUUGUAAUGGUCCCUUGUUUUUCAUUUUGUUAGACCAGCUAAGUGAGUUAUGUCUUGUUUCAUUUGCUUUUUUAAAUUUUCUGUUUGACUGACCUCUUUUAAAGGCCCAGAUAUUUUGUAUUUUUGUUUUUUUUUUACCACAAUUUGGGGGGGAUAAAAACCAUUUUUGAUCAGUAAAUCCUAACCCUUUAGCUGAACUAUAAAGUUUAGAAAAUACUAUACUCCCACACCAAACCUUCCAAAUAAAUGCUGUUAACAAGUCCUGUGAAACAACAAAAUUCUAAACAGCAUUUUCCUUUUAUCUAAAGAUGUAUUUUACAUUGUACAUGGAUAGCAUAUGGUAAAAUAUAACACUGUGUAGUAGUUUUAAUUUGUUAACUACAGUACUAUUAUUUACUAUUUACCACUACUAUUAUUAUUUUUAAGCAUUAUACACUUGCAAACAGGUUACACUGUAGAUUUAAAACGGUAAAAAAAUGAGAUUUUGAGCGCUAUCGGCAGCUGAUGUACAGCUCAUUUCUGUUUGCAAGGGGCUGAAGGCCGCUGAAUAAUUGAAACUGUGGAUGUACAGCCACAGCACUGGGCUGGCUGUGAUGGAGCCUGGCUGAACAAACCGAGAACAGCAGGAGCGUUUUAGCAGCCUGGCUGCCGCUCUGUGAUGCCACCUCUAGUCUGGCAGGGACAGAUCGCUGUGUAACGAGCCUCAUUAUAACACAACUCCUUCGCCACAUCAAAGGCUUCCCUUUUUAUACCAGGAGUGGGAUCACAAUCCUUGGGAUAUUUCAGCACCUACUCCGUCCCCAAACCUUCACAUCUCCCUUUCUGGGAGCAGGAGGAGGCAAAGUCAAAGUUUUGGGUCAGUUUUAGAUGGCUGCUGCUGAGUAGUGGUGGCGGUGCUGAUUAAUACUGAAUUAUGAUAAUGAUCUGGAGGAUGGGAAAAGGGCAGAUGAGGCUUCUUAUUAUCUCCCCUGCUCAGGUGAUGAUAGAUCCAGGUUCUGCUGCUCUCUGACAUUGAAAAGGGACAGGGACUGACUUUUUCAUUUUGUCAAGUCAGCAGGCCCCAAACCAGGAUGAUGCAUUUUUUUUUUUUUUGGGCCAAUGCCAUUGUCCGUUUUUUGGUCAGGGCAUUCAUGCUGGAUUGUAAAUAUCUUAGGGAGGAGACUGUGACCUCGUUUCCACCUGAUCUCCCCCAAACACACACUCACAUAUGCACCUCUCCUCUGUCCUGCAUUACUCUAAUUGGAGCUCAGGGUAUGCAGGCGUUGCCAGACACUACAUUGCCCUCUCUCUGUCUGUGUCUUUCCAUGUCAAAGUCACUUUUCAGUCUGUCACAUCUCCUUCUCUCUUUGUCUGACAGAGGCCUAACUGCUAGUUUUAUUUAAUGUUUUGCUUCAUUCUUUUUGAGGAUGUUGGGCUCUCUGGUGGAUAUCUUCUUACAGAUAGAGACAUUGACCUUUGAAUUUAAAAGUCACUUAAAAAAAGUCUUCUGAUUCUCCUUUUUCCUAAAAGUUAGAGGAAGUUCUUCCCUACUGAAGGUUAACCAGAUGGAAAAGUAUAUAUUAUUUAUUUCUACAUUAUUCUGGAUGUUUCCUUGAUCACUGAUUCAUGAAAUUCUAAAUCCAGUUCAACCAUACACAAUCAAUACAAACUUUGCUGCAUCUGCAGUCUCAUAUACUAACUGAACACACAAUGUACAGUACAAAAGCAGCAGAAAAUAUGGUGGAAAUGCAAUGCUGUUUAUUAUAUCUAAUGACUGUUUUGCAUAAGACAAUGAGUCUUAUUGGGCCAACCACUUUUUUACUUCAC